AUGUCCCAUGGGGCUGUAGUUUCAUGAGGCUUGGUAGCUUGGUGGUGGUGAAAACAUUUUCCAAUCUUUACCUUCCCCACACAGAGGAAAUCCAAAAUCUCAGCUUCACGGAAGCUGAUGUUAAAGGGCUUGAUGAUGGCCCGGGCCAAAGAGGAGCUGGAGCAGGAGGUGGUGGACAAGGAGGAGGAGAAACAGCGCUACCUGGCAGAGAAGGU